AGACCCGAAACCCGGUGAUCUAGCCAUGGGCAGGUUGAAGGUUGGGUAACACUAACUGGAGGACCGAACCGACUAAUGUUGAAAAAUUAGCGGAUGACCUGUGGCUGGGGGUGAAAGGCCAAUCAAACCGGGAGAUAGCUGGUUCUCCCCGAAAGCUAUUUAGGUAGCGCCUCGUGAAUUCAUCUCCGGGGGUAGAGCACUGUUUCGGCUAGGGGGCCAUCCCGGCUUACCAACCCGAUGCAAACUGCGAAUACCGGAGAAUGUUAUCACGGGAGACACACGGCGGGUGCUAACGUCCGUCGUGAAGAGGGAAACAACCCAGACCGCCAGCUAAGGUCCCAAAGUCAUGGUUAAGUGGGAAACGAUGUGGGAAGGCCCAGACAGCCAGGAUGUUGGCUUAGAAGCAGCCAUCAUUUAAAGAAAGCGUAAUAGCUCACUGGUCGAGUCGGCCUGCGCGGAAGAUGUAACGGGGCUAAACCAUGCACCGAAGCUGCGGCAGCGAACGUAUCACCCAAGACAACUUUACGGAGUUGACGAUUGACGGAGCGAAGCGACGUCAAAGCGUUCAUUAAAGUCGAGUUGGCUUAGGGAUACGUUCGUUGGGUAGGGGAGCGUUCUGUAAGCCUGUGAAGGUGUGUCGUGAGGCAUGCUGGAGGUAUCAGAAGUGCGAAUGCUGACAUAAGUAACGAUAAAGCGGGUGAAAAGCCCGCUCGCCGGAAGACCAAGGGUUCCUGUCCAACGUUAAUCGGGGCAGGGUGAGUCGACCCCUAAGGCGAGGCCGAAAGGCGUAGUCGAUGGGAAACGGGUUAAUAUUCCCGUACUUGGUGUUACUGCGAAGGGGGGACGGAGAAGGCUAUGUUGGCCGGGCGACGGUUGUCCCGGUUUAAGCGUGUAGGUGUGUGUUCCAGGUAAAUCCGGUUCACUUUAACACUGAGGCGUGAUGACGAGGCACUACGGUGCUGAAGCAACAAAUGCCCUGCUUCCAGGAAAAGCCUCUAAGCAUCAGGUAACAUCAAAUCGUACCCCAAACCGACACAGGUGGUCAGGUAGAGAAUACCAAGGCGCUUGAGAGAACUCGGGUGAAGGAACUAGGCAAAAUGGUGCCGUAACUUCGGGAGAAGGCACGCUGACACGUAGGUGAAGUGAUUUACUCACGGAGCUGAAGUCAGUCGAAGAUACCAGCUGGCUGCAACUGUUUAUUAAAAACACAGCACUGUGCAAACACGAAAGUGGACGUAUACGGUGUGACGCCUGCCCGGUGCCGGAAGGUUAAUUGAUGGGGUCAGCGCAAGCGAAGCUCCUGAUCGAAGCCCCGGUAAACGGCGGCCGUAACUAUAACGGUCCUAAGGUAGCGAAAUUCCUUGUCGGGUAAGUUCCGACCUGCACGAAUGGCGUAAUGAUGGCCAGGCUGUCUCCACCCGAGACUCAGUGAAAUUGAACUCGCUGUGAAGAUGCAGUGUACCCGCGGCAAGACGGAAAGACCCCG
rnacentral:rRNA from 1 species